rnacentral:rRNA from 1 species
GACGAACGCUGGCGGCGUGCUUAACACAUGCAAGUCGAACGAAGAGCGAUGGAAGCUUGCUUCUAUCAAUCUUAGUGGCAAACGGGUGAGUAACGCGUAAUCAACCUGCCCUUCAGAGGGGGACAACAGUUGGAAACGACUGCUAAUACCGCAUACGAUCUAAUCUCGGCAUCGAGGAAAGAUGAAAGGUGGCCUCUAUUUAUAAGCUAUCACUGAAGGAGGGGAUUGCGUCUGAUUAGCUAGUUGGAGGGGUAACGGCCCACCAAGGCGAUGAUCAGUAGCCGGUCUGAGAGGAUGAACGGCCACAUUGGGACUGAGACACGGCCCAGACUCCUACGGGAGGCAGCAGUGGGGAAUCUUCCGCAAUGGACGAAAGUCUGACGGAGCAACGCCGCGUGAGUGAUGACGGCCUUCGGGUUGUAAAGCUCUGUUAAUCGGGACGAAAGGCCUUCUUGCGAACAGUUAGAAGGAUUGACGGUACCGGAAUAGAAAGCCACGGCUAACUACGUG